rnacentral:rRNA from 1 species
GAUGAACGCUAGCUACAGGCUUAACACAUGCAAGUCGAGGGGUAGCAGGGUAGCAAUACCGCUGACGACCGGCGCACGGGUGAGUAACACGUAUCCAACCUUCCCAUAACUCGGGGAUAGCCUUUCGAAAGAAAGAUUAAUACCGGAUGGUACUUUUUCAAGGCAUCUUGAGAAAGUUAAAGAUUUAUAGGUUAUGGAUGGGGAUGCGUUCCAUUAGAUAGUUGGUGAGGUAACGGCUCACCAAGUCUUCGAUGGAUAGGGGUUCUGAGAGGAAGGUCCCACACAUUGGUACUGAGACACGGACCAAACUCCUACGGGAGGCAGCAGUGAGGAAUAUUGGUCAAUGGGCGAGAGCCUGAACCAGCCAAGUAGCGUGAAGGAUGAAGGUCCUAUGGAUUGUAAACUUCUUUUAUAGUAGAAUAAAGUGAUCCACGUGUGGAUUUUUGUAUGUAUACUAUGAAUAAGGAUCGGCUAACUCCGUGCCAGCCGCCGCCGUAAGAC